rnacentral:tRNA from 1 species
AUUUAAAUAGCUUAAAUAUAGAGCAUAGUAUUGAAGAUACUAAGGUAACAAAAAUUGUUUUUAAAUA